UAUGGGGCUGCCGAGCAGGAGCAGGACUUGGUCUUUGGUCAUGCCGGGGCGGAGGGCGGCAACGGCGCGCGGUUCGAGUUCGUUGCCCUGUAU
rnacentral:tRNA from 2 species